rnacentral:rRNA from 1 species
AGUGGAUGGGGAGCAACCUAGUUGUGCGUGUGUAAAGGUAGUGCCAAGAAAAGCGAUGAUCAUGUUGAAAAUCAAUUCCCGGUACCCGAAACCGACACAGGUGGGCAAGUAGAGAAUACUAAGGGGCGCGAGGUAACUCUCUCCAAGGAACUCGGCAAAAUGACCCCGUAACUUAGGGAGAAGGGGUGACACCGAGAGGUGGUCGCAGUGAAGAGGCCCAGGCGACUGUUUAGCAAAAACAUAGGUCUCUGCAAACUCGAAAGAGGAGGUAUAGGGGCUGACGCCUGCCCAGUGCCGGAAGGUUAAAGAAGUUGGUCAGUUUUAGGAUGAAGCUAGCGACUGAAGCCCCGGUGAACGGCGGCCGUAACUAUAACGGUCCUAAGGUAGCGAAAUUCCUUGUCGGGUAAGUUCCGACCCGCACGAAAGGCGUAACGAUCUGGGCGCUGUCUCGGAGAGAGGCUCGGCGAAAUAGGAUUGUCUGUGAAGAUACGGACUACCUGCAUUUGGACAGAAAGACCCUAUGAAGCUUUACUAUAGCUUGGAAUUGUGUUCGGGCUUCCUGUGCGCAGGAUAGGUGGGAGGCGUAGAAGGUAUUCUCGUGGGGAUACUGGAGCCAACGGUGAGAUACCACUCUCAGGAGGCUAGAAUUCUAACUUAAUUAAGGACAGUUUCAGGUGGGUAGUUUGACUGGGGCGGUCGCCUCCAAAAAGGUAACGGAGGCGUACAAAGGUUCCCUCAGACUGGUUGGAAAUCAGUCGAAGAGUGCAAAGGCAGAAGGGAGCUUGACUGCGAGAAGUACAGUUCGAGCAGGGUGGAAACACGGUCUUAGUGAUCCGACGGUGCUGUGUGGAAGGGCCGUCGUUCAACGGAUAAAAGUUACUCUAGGAUAACAGGCUGAUCUCCCCCAAGAGUUCACAUCGACGGGGAGGUUUGGCACCUCGAUGUCGGCUCAUCGCAACCUGGGGCGGAAGUACGUCCCAAGGGUUGGGCUGUUCGCCCAUUAAAGCGGUACGUGAGCUGGGUUCAGAACGUCGUGAGACAGUUCGGUCCAUAUCCGAUGUAGGCGUGAGAAUAUUGAGAGGAGCCUUCCUUAGUACGAGAGGACCGGGAAGGACGCACCGCUGGUGUACCUGUUAUGAUGCCAAUUGUAAACGCAGGGUAGCCAAGUGCGGAGAGGAUAACCGCCGAAAGCAUCUAAGUGGGAAGCCCACCUCAAGAUGAGUAUUCUGGUGUAAGGUCACGGGAAGACGACCCGUAAAUAGGCACGAGGUGGAAGUGCAGAGAUGUAUGAAGCCGAAGUGUACUAAUAGACCGUCGGCUUGACC